UACGUGGGACCCAAGCGUUAUCCGGAAUUACUGGGCGUAAAGAGUUGCGUAGGUGGCAGAGUAAGUUGGUAGUGAAAGCGUGUGGCUCAACCAUACAGACAUUACCAAAACUGCUCAGCUUGAGGACAAGAGAGGUCACUGGAAUUUCUAGUGUAGGAGUGAAAUCCGUAGAUAUUAGAAGGAACACCAAUGGCGUAGGCAGGUGACCGGCUUGUUCCUGACACUAAGGCACGAAAGCGUGGGGAGCGAACGGG
rnacentral:rRNA from 1 species